rnacentral:rRNA from 1 species
CCUACGGGUGGCAGCAGUGGGGAAUAUUGCACAAUGGGGGCAACCCUGAUGCAGCGACGCCGCGUGUAGGAAGAAGUCUUUCGGUAUGUAAACUUCUAUCAGCAGGGAAGAAAAUGACGGUACCUGACCAAGAAGCCCCGGCUAACUACGUGCCAGCAGCCGCGGUAAUACGUAGGGGGCAAGCGUUAUCCGGAUUUACUGGGUGUAAAGGGAGCGUAGGCGGUGAUGCAAGUCAGAAGUGAAAGCCCGCAGCUCAACUGCGGGACUGCUUUUGAAACUGUAUGACUAGAUUGCAGGAGAGGGAAGUAGAAUUCCUAGUGUAGCGGUGAAAUGCGUAGAGAUUAGGAGGAACACCAGUGGCGAAGGCGGCUUACUGGACGGUAAAUGACGCUGAGGCGCGAAAGCGUGGGGAGCAAACAGGAUUAGAUACCCUAGUAGUC